rnacentral:rRNA from 1 species
CCGUGGUAAUGUAGCAUAAUCACUCGCCAUUUAAUUGGUGGAUAGUAUGAAUGGUUGAACGAAUAUUCCACUGUCUUAGAAAGAAUUAAUAAAAAUUGAAAUAAUAGUUAAGAUGCUAUUUUAAACUGUAAGACGAAAAGACCCUAUAGAGCUUAACUAUAAUCUCUAUUUAACCCACGGAGAAAUAGAUCCUUAAUAAUAGAGAUUGGUAGUUUAGUUGGGGCGACUGUCUUUUAAAUUUAACAAAGACAAGCAAUGUUAAUAAAUAAUUUAUUGUAUAACCGAAAAGUUUAACAAUUAUGAGUAUAGGCUAUAAUGACCCGUUAGAACAUUAUAAAAUGUCUAACGAUCAAUUAAUAAAAGCUACCUUAGGGAUAACAGGAUAAUUUUAUUUUAGAGUCCCCAUCGAAAAUGAA